UACACAACUCUUAACGGUGGAUCACUCGGCUCGUGGGUCGAUGAAGACCGCAGCAAGCUGCGUGUCGGUAUGUGAAUCGCAAGAAUACCAGAUACAUCNACAAGUCGAACGCACAUUGCGG
rnacentral:rRNA from 1 species